rnacentral:rRNA from 1 species
AUUGAACGCUGGCGGCAGGCUUAACACAUGCAAGUCGAGCGAGCGGCGGACGGGUGAGUAAUGUCUGGGAAACUGCCUGAUGGAGGGGGAUAACUACUGGAAACGGUAGCUAAUACCGCAUACCAUCAGAGUUGCCCAGAUGGGAUUCGCUAGUAGGUGGGGUAAUGGUUCACCUAGGCGACGAUCCCUAGCUGGUCUGGGAGGAUGAACAGCGACACGGGAACUGAGACACGGUACAGAAUCCUAAGGGAGGCAGCAGAGGGGAAUAUUGCAGAAUGGGCGCAAGCCUGAUGCAGCAAUGCCGGGUGUAUGAAGAAGGCCUUCGGGUUGUAAAGUACUUUCAGAGGGGAGGCGUUACCCGCAGAAGAAGAACCGGCUAACUCCGUGCCAGCGGCCGCGGUAAUAC